rnacentral:rRNA from 1 species
GUGGGGAAUCUUAGACAAUGGGGGAAACCCUGAUCUAGCCAUGCCGCGUGAGCGAUGAAGGCCUUAGGGUUGUAAAGCUCUUUCAGCUGGGAAGAUAAUGACGGUACCAGCAGAAGAAGCCCCGGCUAACUCCGUGCCAGCAGCCGCGGUAAUACGGAGGGGGCUAGCGUUGUUCGGAAUUACUGGGCGUAAAGCGCGCGUAGGCGGACCAGAAAGUUGGAGGUGAAAUCCCAGGGCUCAACCUUGGAACUGCCUUCAAAACUCCUGGUCUGGAGUUCGAGAGAGGUGAGUGGAAUUCCGAGUGUAGAGGUGAAAUUCGUAGAUAUUCGGAGGAACACCAGUGGCGAAGGCGGCUCACUGGCUCGAUACUGACGCUGAGGUGCGAAAGCGUGGGUAGCAAACAGGAUUAGAUACCCGAGUAGUCC